CCUACGGGUGGCUGCAGUGAGGAAUAUUGGUCAAUGGCCGUACGGCUGAACCAGCCAAGCCGCGUGAAGGACGACUGUGCCAAGCAUUGUAAACUUCUUUUGUCAAGGAACAACAUCAGCCUCGAGAGCCUGACCUGGGGUACUUUGAGAAAAAGCAUCGGCAAACUCCGUGCCAGCAGCCGCGGUAAUACGGAGGAUGCGAGGGUUAUCCGGAUUUAUUGGGUUUAAAGGGUGCGUAGGCGGGCUGUUAAGUCAGCGGUAAAAGCCCGGGGCUCAACCCCGGCUAGCCGUUGAAACUGGCGGUCUUGAGAUGGCGAGAAGUAUGCGGAAUGCGUAGUGUAGCGGUGAAAUGCUUAGAUAUCGCGCAGAACUCCGAUUGCGAAGGCAGCAUACCGGCGGCGAUCUGACGCUGAGGCACGAAAGCGUGGGUAUCGAACAGGAUUAGAUACCCGUGUAGUC
rnacentral:rRNA from 1 species